CUUCUUUUCCUCCUCCUCAAUGCUUAACUUCAAGCCUAUUCCAGUUAGCUGGGCUGAAUGUGACCUCCUAAAGCUGGCAGGCAAGAUUUUUAGCUGCUGAUACCUACCCAUUCCAGCACCCUUUAAACCGAUUCCUGUCUUCCUUUAAUGUUCUAUGCAUAAGGAGUCCUGGGCUUCCAUGAAGAGAGUGUAUGCCUCACUUUCAAACUACAUAUGCCAGCUGACCAAGGUAGAAGAGUCACUCUAUGAUUUAGAAAAAUGCUGA
rnacentral:lncRNA from 1 species